rnacentral:lncRNA from 1 species
UUGAAUUCACUAUAUGCACAUCCUAUGUACGUAUGGGGAUUUUUAAAUGCAUGCAUAUUUGAAUUGAUACCCACACAUUCUAAACUUUUUAGACUGUUGCGUAGUUUUCUUUUAUGGUGAAAUGCAUGUAUAGUUGUUGGUUUUUGGGGGGAAAGGGUAUGUAUGUCAAUUCAAAAUGGAAAAGGACAUGGUUAGUAUACGAGCAAAGCUGCAAAUGGGAGGCUCCCACAUCAUGAGUCAUAUUGUAUUGGUACACAACAAGAGGACAAGAGGACUCGGUAGAUAGCCUGAUAUAUAAAUAGUGACCUCCAGUUAUUUGGUAGGACUGGGAGGGG